AUGACUUUGGAGGUGCAUAUGCUAACACUAGAAAAAUACAGAAAAGACUAGUAUGGCCCCUGCAUAAGAAUGACAUACAAAUUCAUAAAGCAUUCCAUAUUUUU
ensembl:snRNA U6 U6 spliceosomal RNA